GCCUGUGUGUCAGCACAGUCAGGCGAGAAGGGAUCAGAUGCGCACACUUCCCAUAUGAGGUUGACCUUUCUCUGGAGGGAGAGCAAUGGACAUGUUCAUGUUUAAGAUGUUUAACAGCACUAGUCAAUAACGGAGAAUCCAUAUCCUUCUCCAGUCAUAGGGUAUAGGGAGUCUGGAAUCAGGAAGAGAAAGGCUUGAAACUUCCCAUCCACAGAGCGCUUUCUCAUCUGGUCACCCCAGAACUCAGCUGGACUCAUCUUCAGGAGGUUGGUGCAGUUACUUCACACUACCAAGAAGAUGAAGCUCUGAGGGGAAGACGGCGUAUUCAGGAAAUAUCAGCCACCUAGUAAGUGGCAGAUCUUGAAGCUACGCCCCUAUGGGCAGAGUGUGAGGAAAGUUCUAGAGAGGGAAGCACCGAGAACCUGGCUGUGACGCUGCUAGAUUUCACCAAGCCCCUCUAUUUCCUGUUGGCUGGACCAGACUACACGGUCUUGGAAAGAUUUCACUGCUUCACACCAAAGAACAUAUCCCGCUAUCACUGAAUUCAGGAGAAAUCACUUGGUUAAAUUGAUGUGAAACUGCCUUAGGACAAUUCCGAUGCUGUUGUGGAAAAUGCAGUGAAGGUCUCCAACAGGACGCUGCUUGUCUGGGCACCCCCGAGUCUCCACCCGGGGCCAGCAGAUGCCAGCCAGGAGUGGGCGCUGGAUCACAGGCUUGCGGGGACCAGCACCCCCUUUGCCUUUGGGUCACUAAAGCUACAAAGACACUCUCUGUUUUAGAAGUCGUCUUACAGAAAGGAAUAAAGUGCUAUUUCUUGGGCUUUCUGACCUUAUCUUCUUUUAAAGAACUUCGUUUUCUCAUGCAAGAGCCAGAGCUGAUAUACAUGGUUGAUACAGUAUAAACUGCAGCCAAGGGAAGCUGUGCGGAGGAGUCAGGAGACUGCUGGAAGUGCAAGUAUAUGAAUUAGUUAAUUUUCUUAGUGAAAGAGCUAGCAAGCAGGCAGGACAUUUUUUUCUUUCUUUUUUUUUUUUUAAAUCUGACAUUCAACCAGGUUUUCUAAAUUGCAUGAUUGGCUGUAUACACUUCUCAUUUGUAAGCAAUCCUAGCUUCUGGGCUACCAUAGAAGAGGGUCAGUUUCCAUAGAAAAUUAAGAAGUUGGGAACAGUAAGGAGUUUGAAAAAGGAGCAUCGCUCCCCGCCCA